rnacentral:sRNA from 2 species
GUCACACAGCUCAUAGAUGGGCAGACUGUGGUCUUCUGCCUCCUAGUUCACAAUACUACACUUUCUUUCUGUGAUACAAGCUCACAGACAUUUGUUUAAAAUGACUACUGGUUACAGAUGCUGUGGUGAUUUCUGGAGAAAUAUCAUCACCUCCUCUAUUUUCAGUCAGCCAUCGCUCCCAGCCCCAACAGCCUUCCCAGCCCCAGCGGACCCUGCUCCAGCAUGUGGCUCAGUCACAGACCGCAACACAGACUUCGGUGGUGGUGAAGUCCAUCCCAGCAUCUUCCCCUGGAGCAAUCACCCACAUUAUGCAGCAGGCAUUAAGCAGUCACACUGCUUUUACCAAACACAGCGAGGAACUUGGAACUGAGGAGGGCGAGGUUGAAGAGAUGGACACUUUAGACCCUCAGACAGGUCUGUUUUACCGAUCUGCCCUGACUCAGUCACAGUCAGCUAAACAGCAGAAACUUAGCCAGCCCCCGCUGGAACAGACUCAGCUGCAAGUGAAAACUCUGCAGUGCUUCCAGACUAAACAGAAGCAG